UACGAAGGGGGCUAGCGUUGCUCGGAAUUACUGGGCGUAAAGCGCACGUAGGCGGCUUUCUAAGUCGGGGGUGAAAUCCUGGAGCUCAACUCCAGAACUGCCUUCGAUACUGGAAUGCUCGAGUCCGGGAGAGGUGAGUGGAACUGCGAGUGUAGAGGUGAAAUUCGUAGAUAUUCGCAAGAACACCUGAGGCGAAGGCGGCGUUCUGGACUGCUACUGACACUGAGGAACGAAAGCCAGGGGAGCAAACGGG
rnacentral:rRNA from 1 species